rnacentral:rRNA from 1 species
UACGUAGGGUGCAAGCGUUGUCCGGAAUUAUUGGGCGUAAAGAGCUCGUAGGCGGCGGGUCACGUCGGGUGUGAAAGCCCGGGGCUUAACCCCGGGUCUGCAUUCGAUACGGGUCUGCUGGGGUCCGGCAGGGGAGACUGGAAUUCCUGGUGUAGCGGUGAAAUGCGCAGAUAUCAGGAGGAACACCGGUGGCGAAGGCGGGUCUCUGGGCCGGUACCGACGCUGAGGAGCGAAAGCGUGGGGAGCGAACAGG